rnacentral:ribozyme from 1 species
AUACAUGAAUGCUCUGUAAUGGGAUGGGAUCCGAAGCCCUCCGAGAGAUAACAGGCUCUCCCAUCCAACUCCUAUUCCGACACGUCCUCGUCGUGCAGAGUGGUAACAUGUGCCUCCAUAUAUCCUAGCUUGGGUACACGGGCUAGAUCCAACCCCUUGGGCGGAUGGUGGCAUAUGGCGAACCAGGAGGGG